UCAGGAGGUUAGUGCAAUGGCAUAAGCCAGCUUGACUGCGAGCGUGACGGCGCGAGCAGGUGCGAAAGCAGGUCAUAGUGAUCCGGUGGUUCUGAAUGGAAGGGCCAUCGCUCAACGGAUAAAAGGUACUCCGGGGAUAACAGGCUGAUACCGCCCAAGAGUUCAUAUCGACGGCGGUGUUUGGCACCUCGAUGUCGGCUCAUCACAUCCUGGGGCUGAAGUAGGUCCCAAGGGUAUGGCUGUUCGCCAUUUAAAGUGGUACGCGAGCUGGGUUUAGAACGUCGUGAGACAGUUCGGUCCCUAUCUGCCGUGGGCGCUGGAGAACUGAGGGGGGCUGCUCCUAGUACGAGAGGACCGGAGUGGACGCAUCACUGGUGUUCGGGUUGUCAUGCCAAUGGCACUGCCCGGUAGCUAAAUGCGGAAGAGAUAAGUGCUGAAAGCAUCUAAGCACGAAACUUGCCCCGAGAUGAGUUCUCCCUGAGACUUUAGGUCUCCUGAAGGAACGUUGAAGACGACGACGUUGAUAGGCCGGGUGUGUAAGCGCAGCGAUGCGUUGAGCUAACCGGUACUAAUGAACCGUGAGGCUUAACCUUACAACGCCGAAG
rnacentral:rRNA from 2 species